UUUGGAAAACGUAUAUUUCUACGAGCUGGCCCAGUUUCUUCAACCGGCUCGAAAGUAAAAUUGAAAUAGAUAUGCAUGAUGUGUUGCAUGGAAGAUUUCGAUGGAUGGUUAAUGAUAUGGAAAAAAUAAUCAUUCUCUCAUUUCAGCAGGAGAGAAAAUAUUGUAUAAUUUUUCUAUCAAAAUUUAUUAUAUAAAUUUUCACGAUGAGAUUGAUUUCUAUGAAUCUGAAAUAUAAACAGAAUUAGAAUUGGAUGGUGAAGAAUAGAAUGUGCAGAGCAAAGAAAUGAAAAAUUGCAAGAGACACGUUAAUUUCGUGUUUAAGGAACAGUGGCAUUAUGUGAUUUAUACAUAUUUAAAAUAAAUAUGUUAAACUUAUACAUAAACAUGCAAUAAUCUAAGUGUAAUAAUCUGAAUGCAAGUCGAGGAACGCAUAUUAAAAUGCAAAAACACGAAGUAAUCACAACUUUCUCGUAAAAUGCUCGAUCAAACGAUAGCAUUGAAUGGAAGAGCGAGGUUUAUUGGAUCCAGUGUAGAAUUGCAACCAGAAGCUGGUCGGCAGCCAUUCCUUUCAUUACGUUCACCGAUAUUCUAGAAAGUUGUCACUUGGAGGAAGCCUUCUCUCUUUCGCCCAGUCAGAGACUGUUGGAAAUGUUGAACCUCAUCAGAAACUUGAUGCAACUAACGUUUCUUGCACGAUAAUGGUUUCCUGCUGACCGAUCACAAAUUAGAUUCUCGAAAGUAUCGCGAGAGGCAACUUCCUUCCUAUCACUAAACACGUAUUUCACGUUUUCAUAAUAUAUUUCUACAAUAUCUACUUCGUAAUCCAAUUUUAGAUGUUCGUAAGCUUGACAAAUUGAAUUUGGUAAUUUAAAUGUUGUGUUGUACGUAAUCAGUG